rnacentral:rRNA from 1 species
CCAAUAGCGUAUAUUAAAGUUGUUGCAGUUAAAAAGCUCGUAGUUGAAUUUCGGGAUUCAUCCGUUGGUCGGGCUUCACGGUCCGUACUGGUGUGAUGGGUUCCUACCUUCUGAAUAACCGGCAUGCAAUUAAUUUGGUGCGCCGGGGAAGCAGAACUAUUACCUUGAAAAAAUUAGAGUGCUUAAAGCAGGCAAGUGCCUGAAUAGGUUAGCAUGGAAUAAUAAAAUAGGACGGCAUGGUUCUAUUUUGUUGGUUUCUAGGAUCACCGUAAUGAUUAAUAGGGAUAGUUGGGGGCAUUAGUAUUCAAUUGUCAGAGGUGAAAUUCUUGGAUUUAUUGAAGACUAACUUCUGCGAAAGCAUUUGCCAAGGAUGUUUUCAUUAAUCAAGAACGAAAGUUAGGGGAUCGAAGACGAUCAGAUACCGUCGUAGUCUUAACCAUAAACUAUGCCGACUAGGGAUCGGACGAUGUUAAUUUUUUAAUGACUCGUUCGGCGCCUUACG